rnacentral:rRNA from 1 species
AUUGAACGCUGGCGGCAGGCCUAACACAUGCAAGUCGAGCGGAUGAAGGGAGCUUGCUCCUGGAUUCAGCGGCGGACGGGCGAGUAAUGCCUAGGAAUCUGCCUGGUAGUGGGGGAUAACGUCCGGAAACGGGCGCUAAUACCGCAUACGUCCUUAGGGAGAAAGUGGGGGAUCUUCGGACCUUCCGCUAUCAGAUGAGCCUAGGUCGGAUUAGCUAGUUGGUGGGGUAAAGGCCUACCAAGGCGACGAUCCGUAACUGGUCUGAGAGGAUGAUCAGUCACACUGGAACUGAGACACGGUCCAGACUCCUACGGGAGGCAGCAGUGGGGAAUAUUGGACAAUGGGCGAAAGCCUGAUCCAGCCAUGCCGCGUGUGUGAAGAAGGUCUUCGGAUUGUAAAGCACUUUAAGUUGGGAGGAAGGGCAGUAAGUUAAUACCUUGCUGUUUUGACGUUACCAACAGAAUAAGCACCGGCUAACUUCGUG